rnacentral:rRNA from 1 species
ACUCCUACGGGAGGCAGCAGUGGGGAAUAUUGCACAAUGGGCGAAAGCCUGAUGCAGCAACGCCGCGUGAACGAUGAAGGCCUCGGUUGUAAAGUUCUUUUCUUAGAGAAGAAUCCAUGACGGUAUCUAAGGAAUAAGCCCCGGCUAACUACGUGCCAGCAGCCGCGGUAAUACGUAGGGGCAAGCGUUAUCCGGAAUCACUGGGCGUAAAGGGAGUGUAGGCGGUCAAGCAAGUCAGAGGUGAAAGGCAUCGGCUCAACCGGUGUAAGCCUUUGAAACUGUUUGACUUGAGUGCAGGAGAGGUAAGUGGAAUUCCUAGUGUAGCGGUGAAAUGCGUAGAUAUUAGGAGGAACACCAGUGGCGAAGGCGACUUACUGGACUGUAACUGACGCUGAGGCUCGAAAGCGUGGGGAGCGAACAGGAUUAGAUACCCUGGUAGCACAGAG